rnacentral:rRNA from 1 species
GUACACAAAAAUGCACAUACUGUGAGCUCGAUGAGUAGGGCGGGACACGUGGUAUCCUGUCUGAAUAUGGGGGGACCAUCCUCCAAGGCUAAAUACUCCUGACUGACCGAUAGUGAACCAGUACCGUGAGGGAAAGGCGAAAAGAACCCCGGCGAGGGGAGUGAAAAAGAACCUGAAACCGUGUACGUACAAGCAGUGGGAGCCUCUUAAUGGGGUGACUGCGUACCUUUUGUAUAAUGGGUCAGCGACUUAUAUUCUGUAGCAAGGUUAACCGAAUAGGGGAGCCGAAGGGAAACCGAGUCUUAACUGGGCGUUAAGUUGCAGGGUAUAGACCCGAAACCCGGUGAUCUAGCCAUGGGCAGGUUGAAGGUUGGGUAACACUAACUGGAGGACCGAACCGACUAAUGUUGAAAAAUUAGCGGAUGACUUGUGGCUGGGGGUGAAAGGCCAAUCAAACCGGGAGAUAGCUGGUUCUCCCCGAAAGCUAUUUAGGUAGCGCCUCGUGAAUUCAUCUCCGGGGGUAGAGCACUGUUUCGGCAAGGGGGUCAUCCCGACUUACCAACCCGAUGCAAACUGCGAAUACCGGAGAAUGUUAUCACGGGAGACACACGGCGGGUGCUAACGUCCGUCGUGAAGAGGGAAACAACCCAGACCGCCAGCUAAGGUCCCAAAGUCAUGGUUAAGUGGGAAACGAUGUGGGAAGGCCCA